AUUGAACGCUGGCGGAAUGCUUUACACAUGCAAGUCGAACGGCAGCACGGACUUCGGUCUGGUGGCGAGUGGCGAACGGGUGAGUAAUGUAUCGGAACGUGCCCAGUCGUGGGGGAUAACGUAGUGAAAAUUACGCUAAUACCGCAUACGAUCUAUGGAUGAAAGCGGGGGAUCGCAAGACCUCGCGCGAUUGGAGCCGCAGAUAUCAGAUUAGGUAGUUGGUGGGGUAAAGGCCCACCAAGCCAACGAUCUGUAGCUGGUCUGAGAGGACGACCAGCGACACUGGAACUGGGACACGGUCCAGACUCCUACGGGAGGCAGCAGUGGGGAAUUUUGGACAAUGGGCGAAAGCCUGAUCCAGCCAUUCCGCGUGCAGGAUGAAGGCCCUCGGGUUGUAAACUGCUUUUGUACAGAACGAAAAGGUUUCUACUAAUACUAGGAGCUCAUGACGGUACUGUAAGAAUAAGCACCGGCUAACUACGUGCCAGCCGCCGCCGUAA
rnacentral:rRNA from 1 species